GAGGGUGUAGCGCAGCUGGUUAGCGCGACGGCCUGUCACGCCGUAGGUCGCGGGUUCGAUCCCCGUCACUCUCG
rnacentral:tRNA from 3 species